AUGGUCAAGUGGGUGGACAUUUGCAUGCCCAAGGACUGGGGAGGCCUAGGUAUUAUGGCCUCCCAUCGUAUGAACGUCGCGCUCAUGCUGAGUUGGGUUCGGAGGAUCAUGCGAGGCGAUGGGGGCUUGUGGCUUCAGACCAUCCAAGCAAAAUACCUAAGGGGUGAACCCUUGUUGGCAUGUUCCCGCUCAAGAGGAUUCCAGUUUUAG
rnacentral:rRNA from 1 species